rnacentral:rRNA from 1 species
AGGCUACGGCCUUAGUGGCGCACGGGUGCGUAACGCGUGGGAAUCUGCCCUCAGGUUCGGAAUAACAGCGAGAAAUUGCUGCUAAUACCGGAUGAUAUCGCGAGAUCAAAGAUUUAUCGCCUGAGGAUGAGCCCGCGUAGGAUUAGCUAGUUGGUGUGGUAAAGGCGCACCAAGGCGACGAUCCUUAGCUGGUCUGAGAGGAUGAUCAGCCACACUGGGACUGAGACACGGCCCAGACUCCUACGGGAGGCAGCAGUGGGGAAUAUUGGACAAUGGGCGAAAGCCUGAUCCAGCAAUGCCGCGUGAGUGAUGAAGGCCUUAGGGUUGUAAAGCUCUUUUACCCGGGAUGAUAAUGACAGUACCGGGAGAAUAAGCCCCGGCUAACUUCGUGCCAGCAGCCGCGGUAAUACGAAGGGGGCUAGCGUUGUUCGGAAUC